CGAACUCUGGUAUUGAUUGGUGCUUGCAUCAUGAUUUACAUUUGAGUGAGUGGCGAACUGGUGAGUAACACGUGGGAAACCUGCCCAGAAGCGGGGGAUAACACCUGGAAACAGAUGCUAAUACCGCAUAACAACUUGGACCGCAUGGUCCGAGUUUGAAAGAUGGCUUCGGCUAUCACUUUUGGAUGGUCCCGCGGCGUAUUAGCUAGAUGGUGGGGUAACGGCUCACCAUGGCAAUGAUACGUAGCCGACCUGAGAGGGUAAUCGGCCACAUUGGGACUGAGACACGGCCCAAACUCCUACGGGAGGCAGCAGUAGGGAAUCUUCCACAAUGGACGAAAGUCUGAUGGAGCAACGCCGCGUGAGUGAAGAAGGGUUUCGGCUCGUAAAACUCUGUUGUUAAAGAAGAACAUAUCUGAGAGUAACUGUUCAGGUAUUGACGGUAUUUAACCAGAAAGCCACGGCUAACUACGUGCCAGCAGCCGCGGUAAUACGUAGGUGGCAAGCGUUGUCCGGAUUUAUUGGGCGUAAAGCGAGCGCAGGCGGUUUUUUAAGUCUGAUGUGAAAGCCUUCGGCUCAACCGAAGAAGUGCAUCGGAAACUGGGAAACUUGAGUGCAGAAGAGGACAGUGGAACUCCAUGUGUAGCGGUGAAAUGCGUAGAUAUAUGGAAGAACACCAGUGGCGAAGGCGGCUGUCUGGUCUGUAACUGACGCUGAGGCUCGAAAGUAUGGGUAGCAAACAGGAUUAGAUACCCUGGUAGUCCAUACCGUAAACGAUGAAUGCUAAGUGUUGGAGGGUUUCCGCCCUUCAGUGCUGCAGCUAACGCAUUAAGCAUUCCGCCUGGGGAGUACGGCCGCAAGGCUGAAACUCAAAGGAAUUGACGGGGGCCCGCACAAGCGGUGGAGCAUGUGGUUUAAUUCGAAGCUACGCGAAGAACCUUACCAGGUCUUGACAUACUAUGCAAAUCUAAGAGAUUAGACGUUCCCUUCGGGGACAUGGAUACAGGUGGUGCAUGGUUGUCGUCAGCUCGUGUCGUGAGAUGUUGGGUUAAGUCCCGCAACGAGCGCAACCCUUAUUAUCAGUUGCCAGCAUUAAGUUGGGCACUCUGGUGAGACUGCCGGUGACAAACCGGAGGAAGGUGGGGAUGACGUCAAAUCAUCAUGCCCCUUAUGACCUGGGCUACACACGUGCUACAAUGGAUGGUACAACGAGUUGCGAACUCGCGAGAGUAAGCUAAUCUCUUAAAGCCAUUCUCAGUUCGGAUUGUAGGCUGCAACUCGCCUACAUGAAGUCGGAAUCGCUAGUAAUCGCGGAUCAGCAUGCCGCGGUGAAUACGUUCCCGGGCCUUGUACACACCGCCCGUCACACCAUGAGAGUUUGUAACACCCAAAGUCGGUGGGGUAAC
rnacentral:rRNA from 2 species